rnacentral:misc_RNA from 1 species
CACUAUGAACUCCGAGGGGGUGUUUGCCAACUCAGUUUUCAUGACUUGAACUUUCCAGACUCAUUACGCUUCUGGUGGUUUAAAAUAAAAGCAUGGACGGUCUUCUUGACUCAUCCGCACGCAAAAGUGUAAUACGAGCUGUCAAAGGCUUCAUUCACUUCUUGCUAGGACGUCAGAUGUAUCGAUUUAAUCCAUGGUCGCAGGAAAUCUGGGGACUACGCAAGUAGAACCUAUCCAUA